GCUUGCGUGGCGCAACUGGUUAGCGCGUCUGACUGUUAAUCAGGAGGCUGUUAGUUCGAGUCUAACCGUGAGCG